UGGUCCAGUGUGCUGGACAUUGUGUGGUCCAACUUCACUCAAGAAAAGUUGAUGCAGAUAGGACCACAGUGAUGGAUGCUUUGUUACUAUAACUGAACCACUCAUGCAGUUAGCUUAGGUACCAGGAUACAUCUGACAAGUGAGUAAAAUCACUAAGGAAAAUGUGUCAAGCCUUGAUGAUUUUUCUCCCUGUAGUUUCUUUUCAGUAAAUAAUAACAGAGUUAUCUUGAACUACAAGAAAAAACUGGAAAGUAUAAUCUACUUCUAUGCCUGAACAAAGAAUGUAUAGAUUUACGUGAGUAACAAGAUGAUUUUGUUCUACAGCAUUGACUUACAUCGAUUGAAGAAUGAUGUGUUUUCCUGUCUUUGGAUUCCUCCAAAGACUCCAGUGUUCAAGUCUUAGUCAUCUGCAGUUGUCAAUGUUAAUCACCAAAAGAAGGCCUGAUCAUGAGGACCCUAAACUCAUCAUGGAGAGAUCACUAUCAAGCUUUGAAAGUAUGAAGAUUUCCAAAAGAAAGAAAAUGUGUGGAGCUGGCUAUGAAGGAGUUGGUGAUAAUAACAGCUGGUUGGAUUGGAAGGCUUCUCACAAGCUUAGGCUUCUGCCACCAUGUUUUGGAGCUCUGUGGUCUCUAACCAUCAGUUCAACAUUCUGAAUACUCUUCUCUUCAAUUACAGGUGGGAAGAAAAAGCUGCAGAUAAAUAAUCAUCCAGGAAGAGAAGCAUUUACUCCUCCCUUUCAAUCACAGUGAGGAGGCUUCACAAGUGGGGCUUUGCAGAACAUGAGUCUGCUGUAACAGAAUACCACAAGCUGAAGGGUUUAGCAAACAUGAAUGUACCACUGGUUUACCUGGCCAUAAAGGACAAGUGUGUCUCCCGAUGGAGUAGGUGACAAGAAAAUCUGUUUUGCUACCUUAUUCCAGACGAUGCUUCUAGCUUUGGUAUCAUCAUUCAUCAUUCCUGUCUUCUACGACACUAAUGGAAAUUAAAAUAAACAAACCUGUCCGCAUAAGAAGUGAAAAGAUCCUCUAUGGUGACAAAUUUCACAGAAAUUGCAAUGUGAAUAAAAUAUCCUCCAUGUU